rnacentral:rRNA from 1 species
AAGAGACAGCAGUCGCCGCGGGAAAACGGAGGGGGCUAGCGUUGUUCGGAAUUACUGGGCGUAAAGCGCACGUAGGCUGCUUUGUAAGUCAGAGGUGAAAGCCCGGGGCUCAACCCCGGAUGUGCCUUUGAGACUGCAGAGCUAGAAUCGCGGAGAGGUGAGUGGAAUUCCGAGUGUAGAGGUGAAAUUCGUAGAUAUUCGGAAGAACACCAGUGGCGAAGGCGGCUCACUGGACGCGUAUUGACGCUGAGGUGCGAAAGCGUGGGGAGCAAACAGGAUUAGAGACCCCUGUAGUCCCUGUCUCUUAUAC